rnacentral:rRNA from 1 species
CCCUAUGGCCAUGCCACCCUGAACGUGCCCGAUCUCGUCUGACCUCGGAAGCCAAGCAGGGUCAGGCCUGGUUAGUACUUGGAUGGGAGACCACCUAGGAAUACCAGGCACUGUAGGCG